UCAACGACGGGAGAUUAUCGUUUCCGCCAAAUUGAUUUUCUACCUGUUUAUCUACUAAAAAAUUUCAGAGUCAUUUAGCUUUAUCCAUGGGUAAUCCACAAGUUAGUAAUGGUUUUGGCGUAUUGGCAGAGUUAGCAGCUGCCCGUGCUAACAUUUUCUGCAUUUAUUUGUUAAAAAGUUCAAUGUUACGUUCAGGUACAACUUUAUGAACAAAAUAUGAAGUUUUAUCAAAGGGAAAUAAAUUAAAGAAGAUAACUGUCUUAUGGAGGAAUGGCUACAUCUAUGAUUUACGAGGAUAAUUAAAACUCUAAAGAUGUUGAAUUAAUUUUUUUGCAAUGUACGUCUGAGGGUCAUCAAGAUGAGUGUCACAAGGCAAGUUUUAUUAAAAUCCCUCAUCAAAGCCAUCAUGUAUAUUAAAUACUUGAACAAAUAUAAAAUUUGUACAUAUUACAACAUUUUACAAAAAAAAAAAAUAACCGACAAAAAAAAUUUACUAAAAAGAAUAAAAUAAUUCAUAUCAGAAUUAGAAUAAAGUCAAUUUAUUAGAAUAAUAAUUUGCGAAUGUUAUUAUUUUUGGAGUCAGUGCCAGUCCAGGUUCACAAACGUUCAUCAAUGAAGCAGCUUAGUACGAAUGGGUAUACAGGGUGAUUGACUAACUAUGCCUCACGAAUUAUCUCUGAAAAUAUAAGAGUUAUAAACAAUUUUUUUUUUUUAAUCAUUAUGGAUCUUUGAUGAGAUGUUUCACGAGAAAAUUUAAAUUUUUACCACCAUCCCUUUUGCUUAAAAAUAGUGUCAACUUCAUAUUUUCAAAUGGCAACACUAUUU